ensembl:lncRNA
UUCACUCUACACAGAGGGCAGCACAGAGAUCCAACCAUGGCACCUACAAUCACUUCAGCUGUGAUCUACUCGAAUGAGCACCUGACUGACGAACAAGGUAAAUUGAAGAAUCAAUUAAAAGAGAUUGUGCACUUCCUGACCAAGGAUGAGGUGAAGACACAAACCCAGAGAAGACUGCUGAGCCACUUCCAGAGCCUACAUCCAUCCUCUGAUAAGAACAGGACCUGCCUUAGUUCAGCUCCACAGCCCAGCAUCAGCAAAGAGAAGAGUCAAGUCAACAUCACCCUCUGGAGUCUCUGGUUGAGUCCUACAGACUGGAACUCCACUCUCAAACAAAGUCAAUGGACCAUGUUAGUCUAACAUUCAUGUGAUGGACAGUGAUCAGAGAUCUUCCUCAUCAUCUGAGUAUAUAGCAUUUUUAAAAGUCUUGCAGUGAUUGAGACUUUUUAUUUCAGUUUAUUUCAUUUUUCUGAGAAAAAUGUGUAAGGUAUGAAAACAAUAUUGUUGUUGUGUUCAUUGAAAUCGUAACCUUGACUAUGUUGAUCAUGUUUUUAUUCAUGAUUAACAAUAGCUUUAAUGGUCCUAGAUGAGGAAUUUUAACCUAAAAAUGGGAUCAAUCUGUUUGUGAUUGUCUAUGACAGAUCUGUUUUUAGGUCAAAAUGUAUAAGCAACAUUUUUUUUACCACUACAUUGUAUUCAGUAUCUUCUGUGAAGCAUGUAUCAGUUAUAUUGAUAAUGUUAAACCCGAGUUAUAGCAUCACUGUUUCUCUAUGAGGAUGAUUUACCCAAACUGGGUAUUAUGUUAUCAUCACUCUGUGAUUAUCACUAUUUUAUCUGUUUUAUUACCUGAAAAAUGUAUUUACUGCAGAUGUUUUCUCAUUGUAAAACCCUUGUUCAUUUCAAACAAUUCUGUGUGUCUUUACUCUGAUGGAGUAUCAUGUCUUGGAGAUUUAUCCAAGUUCUUGUUGUGACAUUGAAUCACUUUAUUUGCACCUUAAGUUAAGGUGUUAUCUAUAAUGUGACUCAUUCACUCGAUUUUAAUACAAUACAUGUAAUUACUUUGCUCUUAAUUACUUUGCUCUUGUUUCCUUUUCCCUCUCGUUACUAUGACAACAUUUUAGCUCAACAACAUGCC